rnacentral:rRNA from 1 species
UACGUAGGGGCUAGCGUUGUCCGGAAUCAUUGGGCGUAAAGCGCGCGUAGGCGGCCGGUAAGUCCGUUGUGAAAGUCAAAGGCUCAACCUUUGAAAGCCGAUGGAUACUGCCGGGCUAGAGUCCGGAAGAGGCGAGUGGAAUUCCUGGUGUAGCGGUGGAAUGCGCAGAGUAUCAAGGAGGAACACCGAUAGCGAAGGCAGCUCGCUGGACGGUACUGACGCUAAGGCGCGAAGCGUGGGAGC